rnacentral:misc_RNA from 1 species
AAAGUGCGAUAAGCACUGUGAAUUGCAGAAUUCAGCGAAUCAGUAGAUCUCUUAACGCAAAUGGUGUCUGGUAGACUUGUCUACUUGACAGAUAUGCUUCAGUAUUGCACUAAUGCAAUUAACCUGCAUUUUUGUACUCUCAUGAGUACGUCAGGUUCGCCAAUUAAAAAUGGCGAAUGGGAAGAGCUCGACGCUUUUAACACGUUACGAAUGUCAGAGCAAUUAUUAAUCAAUCUGAAGUAUGUCAGAGUACCCGCUGAACUUAA